rnacentral:rRNA from 1 species
CAAUAGCGUAUAUUUAAGUUGCUGCAGUUAAAAAGCUCGUAGUUGGAUUUCGGGUGGGAAUGGCCGGUCCGCCGUUUCGGUGUGCACUUGCUACGCCCACCUUGCUGCCGGGGACGUGCUCUUGAGUUCACGCUCGGGACACGGAGUCGGCGAGGUUACUUUGAGUAAAUUAGAGUGUUCAAAGCAGGUCUACGCUCUGAAUACAUUAGCAUGGAAUAACACGAUAGGACUCUGGCCUAUCUUGUUGGUCUGUAGGACCGGAGUAAUGAUUAAGAGGGACAGUCGGGGGCAUUCGUAUUUCAUUGUCAGAGGUGAAAUUCUUGGAUUUAUGAAAGACGAACUACUGCGAAAGCAUUUGCCAAGGAUGUUUUCAUUAA